CUGGACUUCAUGGCUGCUGAUUGAUUUGAGGGCUGCUCCUUCUGACCAGAGACUUUUCUUCUGCAGCUUUUUCCUCAUCUUUAGUGUUUGGUGUCUUUUGACAACAUCUGGAGAAACAUAAAAACGCCCACUGGGACUGCAUGGACUCACCAGAUCACCCACAGCGUGAUCGAGAUCCAGCGGAUGUUUGGAGAACGGAGCAGGUCACAGAUGUUGCAGGGCCUCCUCUCCUCAGUCUUCACUCUGUUCUGCGGAGCAGCGGAGCAUGAAGAACAACAACAGACGUCUAAUUAACAAGCUGAGACAUCAGCCAAGAGACUUGUGGGUUACUCCUCUUCACUGAAGACAAUCUCUCACUUGAAGAUAUAAAACUCUAUAACU